rnacentral:rRNA from 1 species
UACGAAGGGGGCUAGCGUUGCUCGGAAUCACUGGGCGUAAAGCGCACGUAGGCGGAUCUUUAAGUCGGUGGUGAAAUCCUGGAGCUCAACUCCAGAACUGCCUUCGAUACUGAGGGUCUCGAGUCCGGGAGAGGUGAGUGGAACUGCGAGUGUAGAGGUGAAAUUCGUAGAUAUUAGGAAGAACACCAGUGGCGAAGGCGGCUCACUGGCCCGGUACUGACGCUCAUGUGCGAAAGCUAGGGGAGCGAACGGG